CAAAUCUCAGCGGAGGAGAGCUAACAGGAUCGUGGAGAAUGGAGAUAUGUAAGGGUGGAUGUGAUAGGGGAGUCUGCGGCACAGUCAGUCCCGUGAACCAUGAGCCGAAAGCACCGUACAUUCCAAGGCAUGAGCGAGAAGGGCACUGGGGACCUCAAACAGGGCAGCGAAGAGGUGGUAUGUCGCUAGUAUCGUGACGAAUAACCAGACCCACAUGGUCGCCGCUGCGUUUCCCGUGGACCCAAAAGGAGCAUCAGCGUCCCUCCGUGGACCCAUGGGGCACGGAAAAGGCGCAAGCCCAAACCCCAAAUCCACGGCCCAAAUGGAUGUUUGCUGACCGUGUAAGAACCAGAAAAUCUGAAGCUUUGUAAUAUGGGUUAUUAAUUUUAUAGUUGGUAUCUUUGAAGGUAUUAAGUCCACAAUUUUAUCCCUUACAGUUUACCCCCCAGUUCCCCAUUUUGAUAUAAACAAGUGGAUUAUGAAGUCCCAUUGUGUUGCAAAUCAUAAUUCAAAAGCAAAAUCAUUUAAGCAUAUCAAUAAGAGGAGGAAAAGAAAAUAACCAUGAUUCCCCUAGUAACGGCGAGUGAAGAGGGAAAAGCUCAAAGUUGGAACCUGGCUGUCUUAGAUAGUCCGGAUUGUAAACUAAAGAGCGUGAAUCCAGGCAAGCCGGUUGAUCAAGUCCUUUGGAAUGAGGCGCCACUGAGGGUGAGAGCCCCGUAAAUCGACUGAGCA
rnacentral:rRNA from 1 species